rnacentral:misc_RNA from 1 species
AUAAAACCCUGCUUCUGCACUUAUUUAUUUUCUUUAAAACCCAUGAAUUAAAAUACUCCUUAAUUAGUAAUUAAUUACUCCUUAAUCAAUCCCAUGUGGUGGGUUGUGAGGAAUGAGCUGUAUCAUUUACAAAGUUAUAAAGGGAAGAAGAUUAAUUAAUAAAAUAUAAUUAAUUAGGAUCCAAAAGGUGCUCUAUGAGGGAUGCCUUUUCUUCUUCUUGAAUUGGAAUUGUGAGAAGUGCUUCUGUACAUGUCUUGUUGGCUUUCUACACGCAAUUCUUCUUCUUCCUUUGAUGUCAAUCUUCUUCCUGAAAUUCCUUCCCUUCUUUCCUCCAUUUCCUCCUUCUUAGUGGUUAAGUUAAAGUUGGUAUCCCCAUUUUUCUUUAUUCCUACUACCUUGCAUCCGAGAGAACAGAAACGAAAGGGGUCCAAGAGACUUCUUCCACAUGUUUCGCAUAAAUGAGAGACCCCUUUGCUUGAACUAGUCUUAGGCUGUGGUCUUUCAUUUAGAAAAAGAACUCUAGCACUGUUUAUAACGUAAGUUUGAACUUCACUAAUGUCCAAAACAUUCUGAAUCUCAGCAACCCUAACAACAUCAUGAUACGAUGAUCUCCUGAUUUGAAUAACUAUAUGAUCUUUGUGGCUGGAGGAUCGGCAAUAGAAGCAAAAGGCAUCGUCCUUGCAAUCAAGGCAAAACAUAUUGCAUUCAUUACGUGGGGAAUCUUGGUGCCUAGGGCAAAUGUUGAAAAAUGAAGAUGACAAUAACGAUUCUAGCCAUGGUGGCACCAGCAUUUGUUCCAUUAACAAGAAAUGAGCAAGAAACGGAGGCUCUACUCCACGGAGAAAUAGGUGAUGAGGGGUUGAUUCACAUAGGAUUCAUCAGCAAAUUGAAGGAGAAAGAUCAAAGAAGACAAGAAAAACCAAGGGCGUAAAAGUUGAGAUCAAGGUCUGGUAGAUUAAGGUGGGUUUUGAAACGUUGGAUUUGAGAAAGAAAAAGAGCAGUGGGAGUGUUUGGAGCUUACGCAAAAGUUUAGGUUCUUG